rnacentral:rRNA from 1 species
AUUGAACGCUGGCGGCAUGCUUUACACAUGCAAGUCGAACGGUAACAGGGUGCUUGCACCGCUGACGAGUGGCGAACGGGUGAGUAAUGCGUCGGAACGUGCCGAGUAGUGGGGGAUAACGCAGCGAAAGUUGUGCUAAUACCGCAUACGUACUGAGGUAGAAAGUGGGGGACCUUCGGGCCUCACGCUAUUCGAGCGGCCGACGUCUGAUUAGCUAGUAGGUGAGGUAAAGGCUCACCUAGGCGACGAUCAGUAGCGGGUCUGAGAGGAUGAUCCGCCAAACGGGGACUGAGACACGGCCCAGACUCCUACGGGAGGCAGCAGUGGGGAAUUUUGGACAAUGGGCGAAAGCCUGAUCCAGCCAUGCCGCGUGUCUGAAGAAGGCCUUCGGGUUGUAAAGGACUUUUGUCGGGGAGGAAAUCCCCAGCGUUAAUACCGCUGGGGGAUGACAGUACCUGAAGAAUAAGCACCGGCUAACUACGUGCCAGCCGCCGCCGUAACAC